GGAUUAGAUGGAGCAACGCCGCGUGCAGGAUGAAGGCCUUCGGGUUGUAAACUGCUUUUAUAUGUGAAGAAUAUGACGGUAGCAUAUGAAUAAGCCUCGGCUAACUCCGUGCCAGCAGCCGCGGUAAUACGGAGGGGGCUAGCGUUGUUCGGAAUUACUGGGCGUAAAGCGCACGUAGGCGGAUCAGCAAGUUAGAGGUGAAAUCCCGGGGCUCAACCCCGGAACUGCCUUUAAAACUGUUGGUCUUGAG
rnacentral:rRNA from 1 species